AUAAGAGGAAACGACCUCUAAAACCAGGCUAACUCAGCUGGCAUUGUGUGCGUUUCCAACCGCUCGCGUUCAAAGUUUGGCGCUUUAGCUGGCUCACGUGACUCUGAGGAAAUCAUCAUCCUCUUCUUCUAUGUCGGGGGGGGGCAUCCAACGCUAAGACUGCAAUGCAGGAUUGCUAACUGUGUGUAGCCCCCCAUAAGACUGCUGAGCGCACCCACCCACAUACUGCAGAGAAGAUGAGGAUGAAGGGUUUUGUUUCCUCAGCAUCUCCUGAGAGAUCUCACACACAAUGUUUCCAUGGAGAUGACACUUUAUAUAUGUGUGUGUUUUUCUUUUUUUGAGCAUGUAGGAAUAAAAGACACAAUCACACUUGU